rnacentral:lncRNA from 1 species
GUUGCUUGGGGUGGGGAGUGUGAAAUGAGCCUGGCUCCCAGCAGACAGGCUGGCUUUCCAAUCCUCCCUGGGCCCCUUGAGAAUUUUGAAACCUCGACGAUUGCGAGAAUUAGAGUUAAGCUGUGUGAACGGCACCCUCAAGGGUCUGAGAUGUGGUCAGUCCUCCACAGGCUGCAUGAAGCUCGUACUUAAUGCAAAGGGACGAGAAUGCCCUGGUAGCUCUCAGGAGCGGCCCACACGCUCUAGAGACUCUGCUGGGCACACAGACCACUUUGUGAGAAGCAGAGAGAAGGGGAGUGGGAAGGAAGGAAGUGAGCUUCCCAGUGGCCAGACUGCCCAGCCCUGCAAGGCAGGCCACCAGCCCAGCAGCCCCCAGGAUCCCCACUUGCCCCAGGCAGACACAAAUGCUGCAGGAAGACCACAGUAUGGCAUUGGGCUUGCUGCCCGCUUCUACUCCACUCGGAGCCAAAGUCGCUCAGCCUCACAGGCACGCACCAUCAUCCUCUCUACUACCUCUUCCUUCUCCAACCACUUCAAGCCAGCAGCAAAUUCCCAUUUAUUUUUAACAUCUAUUUCAGAGUGUUGACUCCUCCAGGAAGCCUUCCCAGAUUGGCUCCCAUAAAGUCAAUCCCCUCUUUCUCCUAGGUAUUUUUGUUCCCUCAACAUUCCAUUGAUUCUGAGAUAAGAUUGUAAUUGUGGUCAGGAUUUGUGGUGUCUCUAUAUCUCUACCUCCAACACUUGGAGCCAGUUGUGAUGAAUGAGCUGAAAAUAAGGGUUCGUUACAUGAAAUAUUCAGUGCUUGCGUGAUGGGUCAUAAACUUGUCCAUUCGUUCAACAAACACAUGCCAGGCUUUCUGCUAAGUAAGAAAUGUGGGGCUCAUUCCAGACAGAGAGGAAGCCUGACAGUCUGUCAAGGGAUGUGGAGCUGGGGCAAUUCGGUGGAGGGCGGGGCACCCCCAGCUCAGGAGACUGGAGAAAGUUUUGCAGGAGAGAGGUCUGGAGCUGGGAUAGAGCAAAGCUGGUGAUUGUUCUGACACUAGAACCUUCCAGAAAGAAAAAAAUAUAUAAAAAUAAAUCUAUAAAUGUUCUGGUUAAUUCCUAGAAG